GUUGAAUUCGGAUCAGGUAGGAAU
rnacentral:rRNA from 1 species